UACGUAGGGUGCGAGCGUUGUCCGGAAUUAUUGGGCGUAAAGAGCUCGUAGGCGGUCUGUCGCGUUCGGCUGUGAAAUCCCGAGGCUCAACCUCGGGUCUGCAGUCGAUACGGGCAAACUAGAGUAUUGCAGGGGAGACUGGAAUUCCUGGUGUAGCGGUGAAAUGCGCAGAUAUCAGGAGGAACACCAAUAGCGAAGGCAGCUCGCUGGGACGUUACUGACACUGAGGCGCGAAAGCGUGGGGAGCGAACAGG
rnacentral:rRNA from 1 species